UACAGGGGUCUCAAGCGUUGUUCGGAAUCACUGGGCGUAAAGGGUGCGUAGGCGGUGUGGAAAGUCAGAUGUGAAAUCCGGAGGCUCAACCUCCGAAUUGCAUCCGAUACUCCCGCACUAGAGGGUUGUAGGGGAGCUUGGAAUUCUCGGUGUAGCAGUGAAAUGCGUAGAUAUCGAGAAGAACGCUCGCAGCGAAAGCGGAGCUCUGGGCAACUUCUGACGCUGAUGCACGAAGGCUAGGGGAGCAAACGGG
rnacentral:rRNA from 1 species